rnacentral:rRNA from 1 species
UACGUAGGAGACGAGCGUUGUCCGGAAUUACUGGGCGUAAAGCGCGUGUAGGCGGAUGGGCAAGUCUGCUGUGAAAGCUCCUGGCUUAACCGGGAGUAGUCGGUGGAAACUGCUCGUCUGGAGGACGGUAGAGGUAGGUAGAAUUCCCGGUGUAGUGGUGAAAUGCGUAGAGAUCGGGAGGAAUACCUGUGGCGAAGGCGGCCUACUGGGCCGGACCUGACGCUGAGACGCGAAGGCGUGGGGAGCGAACGGG